ensembl:snRNA Gm23109 predicted gene, 23109
CUGUUGUUUGAAAGGAGAGAAGGUUGCCACUCCCCCUGACAAAGAUGGAAGAGGCCCUUUGGCCUAACAAAGCAAAUAUAGUUAAGACAUUGCCACCUACUUCAUUACAUCUAACCACUAGUUUUU